UAAUACGUAGGUGGCAAGCGUUGUCCGGAAUUACUGGGCGUAAAGGGCGUGUAGGCGGGGCGGCAAGUCAGGUGUGAAAUCCCGGGGCUUAACUCCGGAGCUGCAUCUGAAACUGCUGUUCUUGAGUGCUGGAGAGGAAAGUGGAAUUCCCAGUGUAGCGGUGAAAUGCGUAGAGAUUGGGAGGAACACCAGUGGCGAAGGCGGCUUUCUGGACAGUAACUGACGCUGAGGCGCGAAAGCGUGGGGAGCAAACAGGAUUAGAUACCCUGGUAGUCCACGCCGUAAACAGAUGGAUACMAVGGUGUAGGAGGUAUCGACCCCUUCUGUGCCGGAGUUVVCACAAUAAGUAUCCCGCCUGGGGAGUAC
rnacentral:rRNA from 1 species